rnacentral:SRP_RNA from 2 species
GCCGGGCGUGGUGACUCAUGCCUGUAAUCCCAGCACUUGGGAGGCUGAGGCGGGUGGAUCACUUGAGGUCAGGAGUUCGAGACCAGCCUAGCCAACAUAGUGAAACCCCGUCUCUA